rnacentral:rRNA from 1 species
GACGAACGCUGGCGGCGUGCCUAAUACAUGCAAGUAGAACGCUGAAGGAGGAGCUUGCUUCUCUGGAUGAGUUGCGAACGGGUGAGUAACGCGUAGGUAACCUGCCUGGUAGCGGGGGAUAACUAUUGGAAACGAUAGCUAAUACCGCAUAAUAGCAGUUAUUGCAUGAUAACUGUUUGAAAGGUGCAAUUGCACCACUACCAGAUGGACCUGCGUUGUAUUAGCUAGUUGGUGGGGUAACGGCUCACCAAGGCGACGAUACAUAGCCGACCUGAGAGGGUGAUCGGCCACACUGGGACUGAGACACGGCCCAGACUCCUACGGGAGGCAGCAGGAGGGAAUCUUCGGCAAUGGACGGAAGUCUGACCGAGCAACGCCGCGUGAGUGAAGAAGGGUUUCGGAUCGUAAAGCUCUGUUGUAAGAGAAGAACGAGUGUGAGAGUGGAAAGUUCACACUGUGACGGUAUCUUAUCAGAAAGGGACGGCUAACUACGUG